rnacentral:rRNA from 1 species
CAAAAACAUCGCCUCUUGCCUCAAACAUAAGAGGUCCAGCCUGCCCAGUGACUAUUGUUCAACGGCCGCGGUAUCCUAACCGUGCGAAGGUAGCGUAAUCACUUGUUCUUUAAAUGAGGACUAGUAUGAAUGGCAUCACGAGGGUUAUACUGUCUCCUCUCUCUAAUCAGUGAAACUAAUCUCCCCGUGAAGAAGCGGGGAUGAAAUUAUAAGACGAGAAGACCCUAUGGAGCUUUAAGUAAAUCUUCAAACGCUUGUAUACCCUAACAGUCAUAGACCCUUAAAAUUAACUUUAGCGCCAUGAAGAUGAACUUUAGGUUGGGGUGACCACGGAGUACAAAAAAACCUCUACGCUGAACAAGUCUCAAAGCCUUGAGUAAAGGGCCACAACCCGAUACACUAAUAAACUAACACCAAUUGACCCA